GAGGAAACAUAUGUUCGCAGAAAACUCUUUCUUUUUGACAUAAAAUCUUUCAAGGAGAGCACAAAGUGUAAUGGGCCAAAUCUAGCUGAGUCUAUACCUAACCCCUCUUCAAGCUUGCCAAAUUCGUCGUCGUCGGAUGACCAUACUCAUGGAACAUGUUCAGAAAAGAAGUCAUCUCCAACCAAGACAAGAAAAAGCAUCAGAACCCGUGUUUUAAAGUUUUUCGGACUAAGAUAAAUUCAGGUUUAGAAAAAGUGAAUCUAAGAGACUGCUAAUAAUAGAAGAUUGUGUUUCGAAUCCGACCGUUGAUUUUUUGUAAAAUAUAUUGAUAUUUCUAAUUGAAAUACAUGAU